CACGUAGUUAGCCGGGGCUUCUUGGUCAGGUACCGUCCGGCUGCCCCUUCCGGGGCAGUUUGUCUUCCCUGCUGAUAGAGCUUUACUCGCCGAAACGCUCCUUCACUCACGCGGCGUCGCUGCAUCAGGGUUUCCCCCAUUGUGCAAUAUCCCCCACUGCUGCCUCCCGUAGGAGUUUGGGCCGUGUCUCAGUCCCAAUGUGGCCGUCCACCCUCUCAGGCCGGCUACUGAUCGUCGCUUUGGUAGGCCGUUACCCUGCCAACUGGCUAAUCAGACGCGGGCCCAUCCCGUACCGCCUCGCGGGCUUCCCGCACAUAGGCAUGCGCCUUUGUGCGCUCAUGCGGUAUUAGCACCUAUUUCUAAGUGUUAUCCCCCUGUACAGGGCAGGUUGCCCACGCGUUACUCACCCGUCCGCCACUAGGAUGGCACUUGUCUGGUCAUAGUAAAACUACUCCCCUGCAUGUACCAUCCCCGUUCGACUUGCAUGUGUUAAGCACGCCGCA
rnacentral:rRNA from 1 species